rnacentral:rRNA from 1 species
UACGAAGGGGGCUAGCGUUACUCGGAAUUACUGGGCGUAAAGGGCGCGUAGGCGGCGUUCCAAGUUAGGCGUGAAAGUCCUGGGCUCAACCUGGGAACUGCGCUUAAGACUGGAAUGCUAGAGGAUGGAAGAGGGUUGUGGAAUUCCCAGUGUAGAGGUGAAAUUCGUAGAUAUUGGGAAGAAACACCGGUGGCGAAGGCGGCAACCUGGUCCAUUUCUGACGCUGAGGCGCGAUAGCGGUGGGGAAGCAAACAGG